rnacentral:rRNA from 1 species
ACACUCCUGCGGGAGGCAGCAGUGGGGAAUAUUGCACAAUGGGCGCAAGCCUGAUGCAGCCAUGCCGCGUGUAUGAAGAAGGCCUUCGGGUUGUAAAGUACUUUCAGCGGGGAGGAAGGCGAUAAGGUUAAUAACCUUGUUGAUUGACGUUACCCGCAGAAGAAGCACCGGCUAACUCCGUGCCAGCAGCCGCGGUAAUACGGAGGGUGCAAGCGUUAAUCGGAAUUACUGGGCGUAAAGCGCACGCAGGCGGUCUGUCAAGUCGGAUGUGAAAUCCCCGGGCUCAACCUGGGAACUGCAUUCGAAACUGGCAGGCUAGAGUCUUGUAGAGGGGGGUAGAAUUCCAGGUGUAGGGGUGAAAUGCGUAGAGAUCUGGAGGAAGACCGGUGGCGAAGGCGGCCCCCUGGACAAAGACUGACGCUCAGGUGCGAAAGCGUGGGGAGCAAACAGGAUUAGAAACCCGUGUAGUCCCAUG